rnacentral:rRNA from 1 species
CUCUGUGACUCCGUACGGGAGGCAGCAGGUGGGAAUAUUGCACAAUGGGCGCAAGCCUGAUGCAGCCAUGCCGCGUGUGUGAAGAAGGCCUUCGGGUUGUAAAGCACUUUCAGUCGUGAGGAAGGUAGUGUAGUUAAUAGCUGCAUUAUUUGACGUUAGCGACAGAAGAAGCACCGGCUAACUCCGUGCCAGCAGCCGCGGUAAUACGGAGGGUGCGAGCGUUAAUCGGAAUUACUGGGCGUAAAGCGCAUGCAGGUGGUUUGUUAAGUCAGAUGUGAAAGCCCCGGGGCUCAACCUCGGAAUAGCAUUUGAAACUGGCAGACUAGAGUACUGUAGAGGGGGUAGAAUUUCAGGUGUAGCGGUGAAAUGCGUAGAGAUCUGAAGGAAUACCGGUGGCGAAGGCGGCCCCCUGGACAGAUACUGACACUCAGAUGCGAAAGCGUGGGGAGCAAACAGGAUUAGAUACCCUGGUAG